rnacentral:sRNA from 1 species
GAUUUCUUGCCCGUCCCCUCCCUCCCUCCUGCUGCGACUGUGGGACUGUGGCCCAGGGGUGGACAUGAUCAGUAAGAUGCUGAAGAUGCAGAUGUUGGAGGAUGAGGACGACCUGGCCUAUGCAGAGACCGAGAAGAAGACGAGGACAGACUCUACAUCCGACGGGCGCCCUGCCUGGAUGCGGACGCUGCACACCACCGCGUCCAACUGGCUCCACCUCAUCCCCCAGACGCUGAGCCACCUCAAGCGCACUGUGGAGAAUAUCAAGGAUCCUCUGUUCAGGUUCUUUGAGAGAGAAGUGAAGAUGGGUGCGAAGCUGCUUCAGGACGUUCGCCAGGACCUUGCGGAUGUCGUCCAGGUGUGCGAAGGAAAGAAGAAGCAGACCAACUACUUGCGCACGCUGAUCAACGAGCUGGUGAAAGGGAUCUUGCCUCGGAGCUGGUCCCACUACACGGUGCCUGCCGGCAUGACCGUCAUCCAGUGGGUGUCCGACUUCAGCGAGAGGAUCAAACAGCUGCAGAACAUCUCACUGGCGGCUGCGUCUGGUGGCGCCAAGGAGCUAAAGGUGAAGGCGCUCCUGACGAGUCUGGGGUGGUCAGCAGCUAUCCUGGGCUGGGGUGGGAGUGGCUCUGGGGACAAACACAGGGCCCAGGUCUGACCUGAGCUCCUUCCCCUGGGGGCUGCUGCUUUCCACAGAACAUCCACGUGUGCCUGGGUGGCCUGUUCGUGCCUGAGGCGUACAUCACUGCCACUAGGCAGUACGUGGCCCAGGCCAACAGCUGGUCCCUGGAGGAGCUCUGCCUGGAAGUCAACGUCACCACCUCACAGGGCGCCACCCUUGACGCUUGCAGCUUUGGAGUCACGGGUUUGAAACUUCAAGGGGCCACGUGCAACAACAACAAGCUGUCACUGUCCAACGCCAUCUCAACCGCCCUUCCCCUGACGCAGCUGCGCUGGGUCAAGCAGACAAACACCGAGAAGAAGGCCAGUGUGGUGACCUUACCCGUGUACCUGAACUUCACCCGUGCAGACCUCAUCUUCACCGUCGACUUCGAAAUUGCUACAAAGGAGGAUCCUCGCAGCUUCUACGAGCGGGGUGUCGCGGUCUUGUGCACAGAGUAGAAUUAAACUUUUCUAGCUACCCCUUUCUGUAAUAGUGAAAGUUGGUAUUUAACAUUUAUUCAUUUUUAAAAUAUUUGGAAGGUCUGAGCUUGCGCAAAGAAAGUGGUUGGGCUGAGGUUGGAGGAAGCUGAAUGGAAUGUGACGGUUGGGAGUGGUGGAAAUUGGAAGGAUACCAGGAGGUAGUUGGGAAGGCCAAUGGCGUGGCUCCUUUGAGGAAAUAAAACACUAAGCAUGA